rnacentral:rRNA from 1 species
UACGUAGGGUGCAAGCGUUGUCCGGAAUUAUUGGGCGUAAAGAGCUUGUAGGCGGUUUGUCGCGUCUGCUGUGAAAUUUCGGGGCUCAACCCCGAACUUGCAGUGGGUACGGGCAGACUAGAGUGUGGUAGGGGAGACUGGAAUUCCUGGUGUAGCGGUGAAAUGCGCAGAUAUCAGGAGGAACACCAGUGGCGAAGGCGGCUUCCUGGACCGGUUCUGACACUGAGGAGCGAAAGCGUGGGGAGCGAUCCGG